rnacentral:lncRNA from 1 species
CGACCACCAUGAUCCCCAUGACCGUGACAACCCCACCACCAUGACCACCAUGACCAUUCCCACCAGGUGCUCGGACCAGGUCGCCUUCUGGUACCAGGACAACGCCUGCAGCUCCCGCAUCAGCAAGGUUGGGGUGUCCGUGGGCGUUCCGGUGGCCGUCCUGGUCCUGGUCAGCACCAUCUUCACCAUCCUCCUGCUGAGAUCUCGGAGGCAGAAGGAUCAGUACAGGUAGAUGCGUCACCUUGGGGUGGGCUGGGUGGUCCCGUGGGGGUCCCGAGUCUCAUCCCUGUGGGUCCCACCACGCAGGAAGAAGCUGAAGUCCCGCUCGGAGAUGUACACCAGCGAUGACGGGAACUGGGACGGAUCUCAAGGCUUUGCCAUGGGCAACCUGGCGGCCACCUGGGAAGGUAACGGGCGCGGAGGUGGGGAUGGGCGUGGGGAUGGGUUGGAGGUCGCUGUGGCACCCAGGGGUCCAUGGCACCUCUUCUUCCACCCCACAGACAUGGAGACCCCCAACACCAGCUACAUCAACCUGGAGAACGUGGACACCUCGAGGACGAUACACAUCCAGAGACCGACCAUAGUCCCCUGAGCGAAGCCACCUGAGAACCAGCGGAGACAGGACACGGGGCCACCAGGAUGUGGAGGAGGGGACACAUGGACAGGAGAGCGAUGAGAAUCAGGAGAUCCACCAUCCCCUUCCUCACCACGCAGAUGUUUGCACACAGAA